AGCAGCCGCGGUAAUUCCAGCUCCAAUAGCGUAUAUUAAAGUUGUUGCAGUUAAAAAGCUCGUAGUUGAAUUUCGGGGUUAGUAGGUUGGUCAUGCCUCUGGUAUGUACUGAUCUCACUGAUUCCUCCUUCCUGAUGAACCGUAAUGCCAUUAAUUUGGUGUUGCGGGGAAACUGGACUGUUACUUUGAAAAAAUUAGAGUGUUUAAAGCAGGCUAACGCUUGAAUACAUUAGCAUGGAAUAAUGAAAUAGGACGUUCGAUCCUAUUUUGUUGGUUUCUAGGAUUGACGUAAUGAUUAAUAGGGAUAGUUGGGGGCAUUAGUAUUCAAUUGUCAGAGGUGAAAUUCUUGGAUUUAUUGAAGACUAACUACUGCGAAAGCAUUUGCCAAGGAUGUUUUCAUUAAUCAAGAACGAAAUUAGGGGAUCGAAGACGAUCAGAUACCGUCGUAGU
rnacentral:rRNA from 1 species